AUGAACGCUGGCGGCGUGCUUAAUACAUGCAAGUCGAACGAAGAGCCCUUAACCGAAGAUGAUGACGUGCUUGCACUGAAUCUGAUUCACCUUAGGGUACUGAGUGGCGGACGGGUGAGUAACGCGUGGGUAACCUGCCUUAGACAGGGGGAUAACAUCAAGAAAUUGGUGCUAAUACCGCAUAUGCUCACAGUAUCGCAUGAUACAGUGAGGAAAACUCCGGUGGUCUAAGAUGGACCCGCGUCUGAUUAGCUAGUUGGAGGGGUAACGGCCCACCAAGGCGACGAUCAGUAGCCGACUUGAGAGAGUGAUCGGCCACAUUGGGACUGAGACACGGCCCAAACUCCUACGGGAGGCAGCAGUAGGGAAUAUUGCACAAUGGGGGAAACCCUGAUGCAGCGACGCCGCGUGAAGGAUGAAGUAUUUCGGUAUGUAAACUUCUAUCAGCAAGGAAGAAAAUGACGGUACUUGACUAAGAAGCCCCGGCUAAAUACGUGCCAGCAGCGGC
rnacentral:rRNA from 1 species